UUAUUAUGAUAGGUGCCUCUCCCUUAAUUUGCCUCUCCCUUAAUUUUAUUAAUGAAGGAAAGGAAAAACAGCUGACCUAGUUGAGAUCACAAGGAGAAGAGAUACAGAGCUAAGUAUUUCAUAACCCUUAAAACCAUUCUCCUUUUGUUUAUUUCAAACAAACUAUACUACCCCUGAUGCCUAGUCCUAGCAUAAGCUUGGGUGAGCCACAACCUCUAAGAGAGUUGGCUUCCUCAAAUAUGAUAUGAGGGGAUUAGAUUUGUGGUCUCUAUGGUCUCUUCCAACUCUAGAACUCUCCUAUGUCUUGAAAUCAGAGAAUCACAAUUGUGAUGUAACCACAAGCAACAGAAAGUUAGAGGACAUCUUUAUUCCUACGUUUUGCCCCUAGUUUUAGACAUAUAGUAGGCACUUACUGAUUGAUUAGCAAAUCACUUUUCCUUUGAGCCUGUUUCCCCUAUGUAGAAUGUGGGGAUUCUAAGAUGCUUCUAGAUUAAUGCUAUCCAGUGGAAAAUGUCUCUGGUGUCAAGAGUCAUCAAUUCCCAGUGACAAGAAAAAAGUCAAAAGAUAAUGAUUGGUGUUGGCUCAGGAUGCAGUGAAUGAUCUUGGCAUCUACAAUGUCUGACAAAGCUCUAAGUACUUACAGUAUCUGCUUUAGCUGCCUUCGUGGAUUUUGGAACAAAUUUUUCUUAUCCACCACAUCUGCUAGAGGAAGUCUUCACACAGUUAAGUCAAACACUCCAAUAACUUGCUAGCAGGUUCAAGGCCCAUCAGAGUCCCAAACCUGGUUUAGUCUGCCAGCCAAGAUGGUUUACCAAGGUAUGCUAUAGAUUCUUGAAGCCACAGAUGAGAGACCAGAAGAGAGUAGCCCUGAAAGGGCUCAGCAAACACUAGUUGCAAAAAUCUUCCAUGAACACCUUUAUACCCUACACAGUCUGUAAAAAAUAUGGAGGCAAGAGAUGAUCUUUCAUAUAGAAAAAUAACUGGAGUCCACACAUCCAACUUGUCUUAUAUCUAUUACUCAUCCAUAUUAUUCCACAGGCACUUCAUAGAGGAAGCAUCCAAUAAUACAUCAGAUGUUUUAUUAAGAUCACAUGACUUUUUUUCUCUUUUUAUGGAUGGCAUUCUUUCUCACAAGUCUUUUGGGAUUGCCUUGUAUUAACAAAGUCCAUUACAUUGUAUUGUGGACAACUCUAUUUAAUCAAAUGUAAGAGUGGAGUGAAAGUAAGGUAAGAGAAUUUCUUUCAACACCUUGCACCAUACUGCCCUCAGAUGCCAU
ensembl:lncRNA